AAUCAACGCUGGCGGCGUGCCUAACACAUGCAAGUCGAACGCGAAAGCCCCGCAAGGGGUAAGUAGAGUGGCAAACGGGUGAGUAACACGUGGGUGACCUGCCUUCGAGUGGGGGAUAACGUCCCGAAAGGGACGCUAAUACCGCAUGACAUCCUGCUUUUGAAAAAGCGGAGAUCAAAGCUGGGGAUCGCAAGACCUAGCGCUUGAAGAGGGGCCCGCGCCUGAUUAGCUAGUUGGGGAGGUAACGGCUCACCAAGGCGACGAUCAGUAUCCGGCCUGAGAGGGCGGACGGACACACUGGGACUGAGACACGGCCCGGACUCCUACGGGGGGCAGCAGUGGGGAAUUGUUCGCAAUGGGCGCAAGCCUGACGACGCAACGCCGCGUGGAGGACGAAGAUCUUCGGGUCGUAAACUCCUGUCGAGCGGGACGAACGCUUCGCGGAUGAAUAAUCCGCGGAAUUGACGGUACCGCUAAAGGAAGCCCCGGCUAACUCCGUG
rnacentral:rRNA from 1 species